rnacentral:pre_miRNA from 1 species
CUUGUACUCCCUCCGUCCGAAAAUACUUGUCAUUGAAAUGGAUGUAUCUAGAUGUAUUUUAGUUCUAGACACAUCCAUUUUGAUGACAAGUAAUUCCGAACGGAGGGAUUACUUG